rnacentral:snoRNA from 1 species
CUACGAUGGAGACAUGUUGUUCGAGGUCCAAACAGUUUGAGCGACGCAUUGAGAACGGAACAAUAAAAAAUCACCUUUUCGGCUGAGCG